rnacentral:rRNA from 1 species
CCAAGGAGUCUAACAUGUGCGCGAGUCAGUGGGCCUCACGAACCCCAAAGGCGCAAUGAAAGUGAAAGGCCGGCUCGCCCGGCCCUAGGUGGGAUCCGGCCGCCCGGCGGCCGGCGCACCACCGGCCCGUCUCGCUCGGUUGCGUUCCGGGAGGCGGAGCAAGAGCGUACACGUUGGGACCCGAAAGAUGGUGAACUAUGCCUGAGCAGGGUGAAGCCAGAGGAAACUCUGGUGGAAGUCCGUAGCGAUUCUGACGUGCAAAUCGAUCGUCAAACUUGGGUAUAGGGGCGAAAGACUAAUCGAACCGUCUA